rnacentral:misc_RNA from 1 species
AAAAAAUCUACCUUCUUUCCACUGCUCUGCUGGUUUCCUUCUGUACAAAGACGAAGCAGAGUGGUCCAAUUUAUGUUCUUUCGGGUGAUUCACUCGUCAUGCAAUUGGGCUCUGGCUUCUGGGAUUCUGGGUUGGGUAAAUUGUGAUUUUUGAAUUAGGCUUCUUUAGUCCUGAAAAUUCCAGCAAUCAAUAUGUGGGAAUAUGGUAUAAGUAAAUUGCUCCCCGAACUGUCGUUUGGGUAGCCAACAGAGAAAAACCAGCUACAGACUCCACUGCCCAUCUAACAAUUAGCACUGAUGGAAAUUUGAAGCUUAUGGAUGGGCAACAAAACACUCUAUGGUCAACCAAUACUUCUUCUGCAUCAAAUGGUACGGUUGCUGUGCUUUCAGAUGAUGGAAGGUUUGUUUUGAAUAACAGUUUAACAGGAAACACUGGAAUAGUUUUCAUCAUCCUUCUAAUACUUUGUUGCCUGGCCUAGAAAUAACGGCUAAUGGUAGAAUUGGUGAGCUAAGGGACUUGACUUCUUGGAAAAGUGAUGGUGAUCCACCACCUGGGAAUUUUCUUGUUGGACUUGCAAGGCAGACACCACCACAAAAUUUUAUUUGGUAAGGGUCAAAGCCUUAUUGGAGAAGCCGGCAAUGGAAGGGAUCGAAUUUUGUGGGAGCUCCAGAUAUAGAUUCAUUAGAAGUAUGUAAAUAUUACAUCAAUGGAAUUAGGGACUAUGAGGAACACAUUUUAUGCCUGACUCCAUUCAACAGCUCCAUUGUUUCAAACAUGGUGAUUUCAUCUACAGGAUCUCUGAAGUUAAUGCAUUGGGCUAUUGACAAGGAGUCGUAUUCUAGUUGGAUGAUACCUAGUAAUCAAUGUGACAUCUAUGGAGCAUGUGGACCAUAUGGGGUUUGUAAAAAAUCUAGACCGCUUAUCUGUAAAUGCUUGAAGGGGUUUGUGCCACAGUCAAAUGAGGAAUGGAGCAAAGGAAACUGGACACGGGGGUGCAAGAGGCAAGCAGAUUUGCGUUGUCAUAAUAGUACAAAUGCCUUUAGGGCUGAAAAAGGGAAAGGAGAUGGGUUUUUGGAAAUUGAGUGGGGUAAAACUACCUGACUUUUCUGACAUAUUGAAGAUUGAGGAUGCAAAUUUAUGUUAUCUAUGGUGCAUGAGUAACUGCUCUUGCAAUGCUUAUGCAUAUGCAAGUGGAAUUGGUUGCAUGUUUUGGACUGGAGACCUUAUAGAUAUGCAGGAGUUAUCCUCUUCUGGAGAAGAACUUUUUCUUCGCUUAGCAUAUUCAGAAUUAGGUCCAAUAUCUUGCACUUGCAAAAUUUUCAGGAUGAUUUUUUCUUUUUCAAUCAUUCUUCUUUUCUUUUAUGAACAAUCCUUUUAAGAUUAUUAAUCUUGUUGGUAAAAUCAGAAGAAAAAGUGUUUGUACUAAUGUCGCUAUUUAUUUAAAUUUUCAGUGAAAGAGAAGUUUCAACAAGAGCUUAUCAUUGUCAUCAAAGCCAAUUUAAUUGCAACCAUCUUGGGUAUCAUUAUUUAUGGCUUGUCCAGGUGGAGAACUAAGCAAAGGAUUAAGAAAAAAGGGGAAACUAAAAGAUGGGAAGGUGGUAGCUGUCAAAAGACUUUCAAGCAGGUCAGGGCAAGGCACAGAAGAGUUUAAGAAUGAAAUCCUGCUGAUCUCCAAACUCCAUCCCAGAAAUCUGGUUGCACUCCUUGGUUGCUGUAUUGCAAGAGAAGAGAGGAUAUUAAUUUAUGAGUACACGUCCAACAAAAGCUUGGAUAUAUUUCUAUUUGGUUGGUCUUAACUAGUCAAAGAUUUCUUGUUAGAUGUAUAUCUGCUCGUUCUAUCCUGCUUUUUUUCAAUAAAAUUAUAACAUUUUAGGUGCGUUAUUUUCACAGUUGCUUUGAUUUGCAGUUUACCAUUUAACAUUCCUUUCUGACCCGAUAAGAAUGCAUAAGGACUUACACUAUUUAUAGGAAUGCUGACACAUCUCAAUUACUCAGCUAUGUAGUGAAGUGAUCUCUGUUUUUUUAAAUAUUUUGUAACAGUCUUGUUGGACAUAAUGCCCUUGUUAUCACUGGAUUAUGGAAAAUUGAAAAAGAAAUAUUGCUUCUUUGAACCAAUGUAUCUAAAUUUUUCAUCGGAUCACUUUAUCACAUGACAGAUAUUACUAGCACAACUGAUUCAUUUUCAAUUUGUGCAUUUUUUUAGAUCCAACUAAAAGAAGAGAGCUUGAUUGAAACCCUUCAAUAUUAUUCAGGGUGUUGCUCAAGGACUUCUUUAUCUCCAUCGAGAUUCUGUUUUGAGAAUUAUAGGCCGAGAUUUGAAAGUCAGCAAUAUUCUCUUGGAUGAGGAGAUGAACCUCAAAAUAUUAAAUUUUGGGUUAGCACGGAUGUUUCAAGGGACACAAGAUAUAGUCGAUACUCAUAGGGUUGUGGGAACAUUAUAAGCGUCCUUUCCUUUUUGAAGAAUAUAUGCGAGUACUAUGUUUUCUUUUCAAGCACGCUUUCUUUCCUUUCUAAACUGACAGUUGAUGUAUGCUGCUAUGGCCAAGCAUCUCAAUGUGGAGAUCAGUUAGGGAAAGUAAAAACUAACUUUUGCAAUAUGUGAAUUAGCAAUUGAGCUAACUUUCCAA